rnacentral:lncRNA from 1 species
CUCCUCUGCAUCUGCAGGGCGUGAGGCUGUGGGUUUGUGGUGUGUGGCCUCAGCAGAUGUGUUGGGGAGGCUUCAUGCUCUGUGAGUAACAACAAUUCUGUCAGCCAUUGCCACCUUACUAUGCGCUUUUACAUGCCUUAGUUCACUUGAUCAUCUCAGUGAGUUUUCCUCAUUGUUUCAUUUAUAGAUGAGGAAGGUGAGACACAGAGAGGUCAAGUAACUCUCUUGAUGUCACACAGCUGCUUUAAAUCCAGGCCGUCUGACACCAGGACAGACAAUAUCUGAGCCACGUUGUGGGGCAGGAAGGAGCCGGUCUGGGGAAGAGGAACCUGCUACAUCCACGUCCACUUUGGUGUCCUGAGGUAGCAGGUCUGGAAUGAGGGCAGCUUUUCCCGCCCGUCUCCCUGCACAGCAGCAUGUCAGCUUGCAGCAGGAGCAUUAGGAGAAGAAACAGAAACCCACUAGCAGCUGCUGAGACAGGCCCACAGUGGGGAAGGAGGGGCAUAGAAGGCCCCAACUUUGGCUUUCAGGAGCAGGAUCCAGCUGGCAAGGUAUGGGGGCUAACCUAGCUUACCCAACCUAACCUCCAUGCUACUGUCUUGCCCCACCUCUCUUUGGAGGACCAGAGUGCCUUCCUGAAAAGACCAUGACUGGG